UGAUAUUUGCCACCGGGCAAAGGAAUGUAAAGCAUUCAUACGCUUAUCGUUAGGUCUUUGAAGAUAAGCAUAUGGGUGCUUAUUUUUU
rnacentral:ncRNA from 1 species